GUGAUCAUCUUGUAACAAGGUUGAUGAGGACAACAGACUCGCAACAAGUUGUUCCAACAAGUCUGAUAUCGUCUGCACGUAACAAGUUCUUAACAAGUUGAUGACAACAAGCUCGUAGCAACUUGUUACGAACAGCCUGUAUUAGUCUUGUUGGAACAACUUGUAGCAAGUCUGUUACCGUCAUCAACCUUGUAACAAGAUGAUAACAACUUGUUCCAGACUUGUCACAACAACUGGGAACAAGCAGUGCGAACACAUCCUGAUAUCGGCUUCACAACAAUCUUGUUACAACUUGUUUGCAGAUCUCUAACAACUUGCGCGUUUUUACAGGCAAAUAAAUAAGAUUUUGUUUAAUUUUCUUAUUGAAUUGCAAUAUAUAUUUAUAAAUAUCGAUAAUUAAAAUACAGAAUUUUUGUACUCUACCAUAUUCGUACCGGUAAACACCAAACACUAUAUUCUAAAUUAAACCUUUUAGUUCUUCAAUUAACAUCCAAUUAAGUGUUAAUCUACAGUGUCCGCGAAUGAAAUUUAUAGUUUUUAUGCGUGUAAAAUCUAUUUAAUAUAAUGUACAGUGUAAAUUUAACCCCCAGUAAAAAAAUCGUAAUUAUGAUGCGGUUGUAUUUCAAAUUAGUUGGGUUCGUUAUAUUUAUAAAUUGAACAUUAGAAGCGCCUUUUAUGCAUGUGUAAAACUCUCCCUUGUAUAUUCAAACUACUCAUCUUUUCAAAUAUAGUUCAGACACAAAUCACGGCAGCUUUUUGAUGAAUACUACCUACACUGGACCACCACGUUUGAGAUAUCUUUUUCAGGUAGUUCACACACAAACCACGACAGCUUAUUGUAGAAUACUACCUACACUGGACCACCACGUUUGAGAUAUCUUUUUCAGGUAGUUCAGACACAAACCACGACAGCUUAUUGUAGAAUACUACCUACACUGGACCACCACGUUUGAUAUAUCUUUUUCAGGUAGUUCAGACACAAACCACGACAGCUUAUUGUAGAAUACUACCUACACUGGACCACCACGUUUGAGAUAUCUUUUUCAGGUAGUUCAGACAUAAACCACGACAGCUUAUUGUAGAAUACUACCUACACUGGACCACCACGUUUGAGAUAUCUUUUUCAGGAAGUUCAAACACAAACCAUAGCAGCUUAUCGUAUAGAAUCAACUAGUUUAUACAAAGCGUUAUCUAGCAAAGCGACCAGCUCUCGUCUCGCGAUGACAUUCAGUAUAGAUUAAUUUUACAAGAUACAGAUGGAAUCCGAUAAUCAAGAAUGCAACGCCCGCCCAGAAUGUGGCUGGCAGGAAGCUGUGAGAUUCUCUGCUUUGGAAAUGAGUAUCU